GCGGGAGUGGCGGAACUGGCAGACGCGCCGGACUUAGGAUCCGGUGCCCGUAAGGGCGUGCGGGUUCGACUCCCGCCUCCCGCA
rnacentral:tRNA from 1 species